GGAUGACAUAUCCUGCCAAUGUCUGGGGAAAACUGAGACAUCCACUUUCCCCCCAUGAGAGCACAGCGGCCAUUUUGGGCGCCAUGAUCUCGCCCCCAAACCAUGAUCUUGCAUAGCACCCCAAAGUACAUUUUGGGGCACUGUGAGAGCAGAGCACUGAAAAAGUGCAUCCUUUGGGCUCUGUGAUCUCAUGUGGACCACAUGACUCGUGCAGGAGGAGCAUGGGCAGGAAGAUUUGUGUCCUGAUUUGGGGACUCAACAUGUUGGAGGGUAUGGGAUGGCUUCCACUAGAACUCUGAUGGGACAUCUUGCCCUUUUGGGUUGAGGCAUAAAAGACCCCGGGGGCUCACAUUUUAAUAUGAAACUCCCCAUUUCACACUUCCUGAAACUGCAUGGGCCCCAAAAUACAGCUAGCCUUUGAAAUUCACACUGCUCUGAAUUUUGCAAUGCACUUCUCCAGGUACUCGGGGAAAGUCUACCUAGACGUGCAUAGAUUAGUAAAAAUAGCAUGCAAAAAUGCAACCUAUCAGGGGUAUCACUUGCAGAAAUGGUUAUACCAGGAAACGUUGUACACACAGAUGUGUAUACCAGGAAAAAUCUGCACCAAAAGAAUUUCCACGAGAAUACCCACUUUGGAACACAGUCCCCCUACCCUCCCAAUGGAAAAGUAGCCUGGUGCCCAAAAAUUGUUCUUUUAAUAGCUCCCUUAAGAUUUUAUUAAAUAAAAAAAAUCAGCCAGGCCCUUUUUCAGGGAAGCAUUUUGGGCUAUUGUUCAUGCUGGCUUUUCAGAUGUACUGAAUGUAAACUUAUUGCUCAACUUUGCCAUGUUGUGUUUAUUUCCUUGUUUUGGUCCACUGUCACAAUAUUUUCAAAUGGUGGGCAGUUGGUGAAUCCCCGAAAUGAAUGAAUGAAUAAAUAUGCAAUUCAGGCUGCGAAUCUGAUGAAGACUUACCUGGGAGUAAAAACCCCUUAACAGUAGUAAACAUGCACAGGAUGGUGCCAUUCAUUUUAAUCAAAUUAAAUGUGCUGCUUCUGUCUAUUUAAUCUCCCCUGCUUACCUCAAUCAUUCCAUAGAGCCAGAAGAGUUCAGAAAACUCUCAAGAUUCAUUCCACAUGCUGCAACUCUUCCCCAGUUGCCUAUAAAUGUGAUUACGGGAAAGACAAAUGGCAGUUUUUGCUCUGAUCUUCUGAGACAAGGGUUAAUUUCCAUCAUUGUCCGACGUUAUGUUAAUCAGCCACCAAUUGCUCUUUUUGUAUGGAAAUAUAUCACCCUGGAUUUAGGAUAACUGGCCUCUGCUGUUAUCUUUGAGUAAUGAAAGGACGCAGCAUGCCGGCUGACUCAAGGGCUGAAACACAAGCAAGGCCACUCUUCCCAUCGAUUUAUCAUCUAUUAAAGGUGUGCCAGUUUUGCAAAGGAACAGCACCUUUGCGCUCCACCAAAGCCAAGAAUGGGAUCCUCAUUUGUUUUCUGGGUGGCUUGAGGUGGGGGCUAGACCCACCUUGCGGUUCUGAAGGUGACAGGUGCCAAAGAAAAAGGUGCGCUAAUUGAGACGUCUCAAGGGAGCGGCAAGAAGUAAACUGGCAAAGGUAACUGAAUGGAGAGGAUUUGCAGCCGUGCACAGACAAGCAUUUCAGGGACUGCUACAGAAGAGACAAAAGUAAAGGAGAAACGUAUUAGAGAACAGGACACCAUCUUCACACUUGAGGAAGAGAGGAGAAAAUUAUGUUAAUCAAGAGAGGAAACUGAUAUGUGGGGGGAAAGAAGUAGCUGCUAUAAAGGAAAUAAAGACCGUGGGGUUAUUAUUUACUAGAUGACCAGGGAAACCUUUAUCACAGACACUUGGAUGGCUUUAAAAGACAAUUGGACACAUUUGUGGAAGACAAAGCCUACUGGCCAGAAUGCCUAUGUUCUACCUCCACUGUCAGAGGCAGUGAUCCUUCUGAAUACCAGUCGCUGGACACUGCAGGACGGGAGCGUACUGAUGUGCUCAGAUCCUACUUGCAGGUUUCCUGGUUGAUCCCUGUGAGAACAGGAUGCUGGACUCCACGGGCCUCUGGUCUGAUCCAGCAGGGCUCUUCUUGCAUUUUUAAGCAAGUCCCACUGUGUUCAGUGGGUCUAACAAGCCACAACAUAUGUGCAUAGGAUGGUAGUCUUAGCGUGUGCCGCCUUCUGUGUUUGCAACAUGAAUUAUGUUGCAAAGAUGCGGCUCUAGUUAAUUAAUAAUGCUGGGCUUUAUCAAAUGUUAGCUUUCCUCUUCCUGGGCUAUCUGCGAAAAGCCUUCCCCUCCUUUCUUUAAAGCAGUGGGUGAAAAAAACACUUUAAUAAUUCAGCAGGAACCUUUUACAUUAUGGAAAUUAUAAUCAACUGGCAAAGGGUGAGAGAUCUGAUUUCUUUCUCUCCGCCACCCCCCGCCUGCCGUAGAACUUCAGCUCAAGUGCUACAAGUGUUGCAUGAUUAAUGGCAAAUGAAGAGAGGUGUGGAAGGGUCUUCGUUGCAAGAUGCAAUCUCAGCCGCCCUGCAGUAGAUUACUUGCCCGUCGGUCCUCCAACCCCCUCUCCUGAUGUGGCCCUAUUUUUCAGGAUUGCAAACGUGACACUGUCCCGGCGCGUGUGCCUUGAGGACUGCAAACUUGGAGAAGCCGUUUCCAUUCCACCGCAUGUACCCUUGGCUGCCAUUGAAUAAUUUAAACCCAUUAAUCGUUUUAAGAGGAAGACUUAGUGCUGCUUGACUUGCUACAGCCGAAUUGAGGGAUGAGUGCUUGUGUGCUUCUCCAACGAAGGGUCUUUGGCCAGAUGCAGAAGAUCCAAAGACACCUGACUUUUCCUCCUUAAACGGCUUGAUUUUUCCCCCUCUCUAAAAAAAAAAAUUAACUGAGGGUUCCUAUGCCGAAAGCAGUUAAGCAAACAAUAAUCCUGCCGCAGUUGUAAGUAGACAUCUUACGAUAUUAGCUGUUUAUUUCACUGACAUCCAUUUGAAGAGUCUACAGGGGGCUGUUUCAGGAGUCAGGACCUCAAUGUAAUAUACAAGCUCUGAUUCUGAUAUUUCCCUUGAUAACUGCGCUCUACCUUAUUGGGGUCGGAAGUCAGGCAAGGUUCAGUGGCUGUUAUAAUGCUCACUGUCACCAGUAAUAAGUACAAAGGACUUCCUCUAAAAGCAGGCUUAUAAAACUUUAAGGAAAGUUGGAUUGCUUAAGUGAACUUCCAAGGCUCUUUGGGAGGGGGUGGCUGCGCUUGCCUUGUCUACUUAUAUUAAUUUCACAACGUCUAAAGGGUCAAGCAGUGUAGUUGGUGAUGCUGAUUAAUUCAUGAAACACACAGUCUUUGAGCUAUCCUAUCUACCUACAUCUUUCCCCCCCUUUUACUGUCCUCCAACCUUUGGGGCUUUAUUUUUUUUUAAAAAAAUCUAUAUACAGAGAAAGACGGUGGUGGGAGGUGGGGAGAGGGUGAGCGUGAGCGUCAGAGAGCUCUAGCCUCUUCCCCCUGCUACCAGGAGUUUAAGGUGCUAGUC